AAAUAUUUUAUUUGCCACACUAGUUACUGCAGCAAAGAAGGAGCCACCUGCUUUCAUUUGAAGUUUGCUUUCAUAGGUGUGAGGGCAGCCUGCUACCUCAUGUCAGCAUCCAUUAUAAGGCACCAUGCAAAGUGACAUGACACAGAAUGACAGCUGCAGCCACCUCAACAUGGCAUCCGUGAAGCUGAUAUCGACGAGGCUGCCGUUACAUGUGCUCCACAUCCUAGCUGAGAAAAAAUGGAGAAAUGCUCAGAAACUAUGAAUGAAUGCAGAAAAACACCCUAACAGAAACACACAACUGAGUUGGCUUUACCAUUAAGGAUUUCAUUAAGAUCAAAGGAACCUGUUUCAUCCAUCUUAAACCUUCACCUGGCGAGGUGAUUUUUAUAAAUCAUAGUCUACUUUUAAAGUUAUGCUUACUAGAAAACAGGUCACAAUGUUACCCGGGAUGUGGGGGAUACACCAGGAGGGAGUGGAGGAACAUACUUGCAAAAACAUCCGCAUUCCCCUUUAGUGGAUACAUUUCUUGCUCCAGUUUUUAAGAAUCACUGUUUGGAGACUGGUUUACCCGUUUCUGUAUGCCAAAGACAACAAACAAUCCACUCCUCGGAGUCCAAGAACUCAAGAUACCGCUUGCAACUAUUCAUGUAAAAGGCAGCUAGACAUAAGGGCCUGUGUUUCCUCUCUUGAUAACCUAGCCUUUUUAUUCCUUUCACUGAGGACAACGCACCAGAUUAAAGCACAUUAAAAGAUAAGGCAUUCAGUACCAUUAACUCUCACUGUGGACAAUGUUUAUCUUCAGGUUGUGAGAAAUCUGCUAAAAAACAUAUGCAAUGUUGGCAUGUUUUUACUUACAAACCUUUGAUUUUUUUAACCUAGAAUGUUGGGAUUAGCUGAUGGCUCCUUUCCUUAUUUACAUUAUUUUUGCAGUUUUUUUAUUUAAUCGGUAAAUGGUUAGUAUUCCCAGGGCCUUCCUUACCACCCACACAUAUUUGCUGACAUAGUAACACUGACAAGGAAAUAAAUGCUUAAAGAACUGUGGGCUGGAAAUGAACUUUACAUGCCCUUAACCACUUAGCUAGACUCAAGUAAUGAAGCAUCAAAAAGCAAACCCAUCAGUUAGGUUUUGUAUGUGAAACAGAAAAAAUACUUAGUUUAACUUGUUAUCUAUAGAAGCAUAACACACCUAAAAUAAAGACGAAUGUUUUUUGUUUGUUUUGUUUUGUUUUGUUUUCUGAAGGACGACAUCAUAAUCCUGAAGCUCUGCUGGAAUUCUAGCUUCCGAGGUUUGGCUGAGGAAUGCCGUUGGUGAGGCUCAUGCCUUCCCAUACGCACACACAAUGAAGAGAUUCACUCCAGUUCCAUAUAAAUACACCAUGUUCCAGUAGUUGGCUUACUAACUCAUUGCCCUGAACUUGACCUUUUCCUAGAGAAGGAGUGUCGGAAAUGUGGUUAGCUUCUGAGGCAAAUCCAUAAAAGCCAACCUAACACAUAUUGAACACAGAGUAGCUUUCCAAACCCAUGGAGUAUGGAUCCGCUUUCCCUGUGUCAAUAUUGUUUCCAUGGAAAAAUCCUUACGCAUUCCAAGUGGGGUGUUCUCUCUCCAUAUGGGGAAGCCCAAGCACAUCCCACUCUAGCAAGAGAAACAGAUAAGCACACCCCACUCUAGCAAGAGAAACAGAGGUAGCUCCCUGCCUUACGUCCUGUUUUUUCCCAUUCUGACGGGGAGGAACGUCUUUAGCAUACAGUGGCACUACAGCUAAUGUGGAUUGAGUCAGUCACUCAAGAAUUCAGGGCUAUGCCAAGGUUGAAGAUCAGAAACGGUCUUCCUAGAAGGUGGCUGAAGGGUUACAGACUGUCAUCAGAAAAUCCUUACAAACCAGAUUUAGCUGGUGUCUCAAUCACCACUGUCACUUAUACCAUGUGCCCCACUUCUCAGGGACUCAUAUUUCCUGUCACCACCUCUUGUGGCUUCUGAACAGCACCUCCAGCUUUCUCUUCUGCCUCUUCCUUACAGGAGUCCUCCUCUCUCUGGAACAAAGGUGCUGCCAUAUUCCUGGCGAUAGCCGUGGUGGAAUCAGAUGGAGAAUAAACCAUUUUCCUGGAAACAAUUCUACUUUGACUAAAUGAGAAACAAAACAUAAUUUUUCAUAUUAUUUCAACAGAAUAUUGCGUGCAAAAACUUCUAGUCAUUUUUAAUAGGCUUAGUGGAGUUAGCAAUUCUCUAAGUAAAACUUACAAAAGGACAUCUCUUUGAGGCAGAGAUUGGAGGCUCUGAAGAAAGGGCACUGGUGGGUAAGGGUUGAAAUUGGAAUCAUUACUGGCCCGUUUCUUUCUCCACUGUACCAGGUGAUCUGGAGCAAGUUCAAGGGCAUUGACAUAGGGUGGAAAACAAAGAGGGUCAAACUUUUAGGGGCAGCAAACGGAGGGGCAAGGAACACACAAAGGAGAAAAACCCAAAGCCAUAGCUGUGCAAUAGAAGCCAAUUUACUUGAGGUGCUACUACAAAUGUUCAUUUUUAAGGUGAGUGGAGAGACUAGAAACUACCUUGGCAUUACAUAGCAAGGGCAUUUGGGGGGAUUUCUGUAUAAAUUUUACUAAAAUGUAAAUGGUGCAAAGAAUUUCCAUCUUAAGCCACUUGUAUUAACAAGUAUUUCAAGUUUUGGGUUUACUAAAUUUAAAAAACAUUAGAGAUACAAAUUAAUUAAUAAAAGGAUGAUUUUCUUAUUUUGGGAAAUUGAAGAAUGCCAUUUUCUGCACCUAGCAUCAGACCGAGGAUAUGAGGUGAGUCUGCCUAUGUGAAUCGCCUUGCCUGUUUUCAUUAAUGACCGUGUCCUUUGUUAAUAUUCUUACGAUGAAAUGUAUUCAGAAAUAUCAUUUCAUUUUCUGAAAGUAAAAACUUAGUCAAAAAACAGAGCCAAAUGAGACACAGUGAUGGUGAACCAUUAAUCUCUUCCAAACGGGCUCUUUAAACUCUAAUAAUAAAAAGUAUCACCUGGCUUCGCAUUUCCCCUUUGCAUAUGCAUACAUUUUGAAUGCUUUUCAGUUAUCUUGUCUAUUGUUGUUUACGUGCAUUUUAAAAUCUAUGGUGAAUAUGUGUUCUCUCUGAGACUUGUUUAUGGAAUCCUCAAGAAAAGAGUGGAAGAAGCUGUUUAUUGAAAUCUCUUGUCUCACACUUGGCACCAGGACAUGCCAGGUUUAAAACAAUGUUUGCCUGAAGGUAUCCUUUUCUGAUCCAGCAUAGUUACUUACAUGUUGCCUGCUAGGUAUACUUCUCAACUGUUUUAACAUUAAUGUGUUGAUAAUAUUAAUAAUAAUAGAAGAAUUUGCAAUAACAACUGUCAUUUAUUACAGCAAUACAAUUUUUGAAAUAAAUUUUAAAUAGAUCAUUCUAAACACCACAGCCUAUGCAUGUGGAAACUGACCCUAAUAUAGCUUAGCCCUAUUAAGGAUUUUGCAAGGUAGCAUAACCAGUUAGUGGAAUAACUAGUAUAUGUGUCCAAUACUCCAGACUCAUGACCCCAAGCCCUCUGCCGCACGUCUUCUAAUCUUUCUAAAAGUAGCAGCAUUUAAAUUAUUUUUGUCAUUCAGGAAUGCUUAUUAAAUAAAUUUCAAUCACAUAUUUAAUAAAUGUAAAAAAUACCCAAA